rnacentral:rRNA from 1 species
GGUUAAGCGACUAAGCGUACACGGUGGAUGCCCUGGCAGUCAGAGGCGAUGAAGGACGUGCUAAUCUGCGAAAAGCGUCGGUAAGGUGAUAUGAACCGUUAUAGCCGGCGAUGUCCGAAUGGGGAAACCCAGUGCAAUUCGUUGCACUAUCGUUAACUGAAUACAUAGGUUAACGAGGCGAACCGGGGGAACUGAAACAUCUAAGUACCCCGAGGAAAAGAAAUCAACCGAGAUUCCCCCAGUAGCGGCGAGCGAACGGGGAGCAGCCCAGAGUCUGAAUCAGCUUGUGUGUUAGUGGAACGGUCUGGAAAGUCCGACGGUACAGGGUGAUAGUCCCGUACACCAAAAUGCACAGGUUGUGAACUCGAAGAGUAGGGCGGGACACGUGGUAUCCUGUCUGAAUAUGGGGGGACCAUCCUCCAAGGCUAAAUACU